GGGGGGGGGGGGGGGGGGGGGGGGCGCGGGCGGGGCGGGCGGGGGGGCCCGGGGUGGGUGGGGUGCGCGGGUGGCGCCCGGGUGGGGAGCACGUGGGUAACCUGCCCUUGGCUGUGGGGUAACUUCAGGAAACUGGGGCUAAUACCGGCUCGGAGCUCCUGCUGCCUGGUGGGGGUUGGCACGUUUCGGCGGUUGGGGAUGGCCUCGCGGCUUGUCCGCCUGUUGGUGGGGUGGUGGCUUACCAAGGCCUUGACGGGUAGCCGGCCUGAGAGGGUGACCGGCCACAUUGGGACGGAGAUACGGCCCAGACUCCUACGGGAGGCAGCAGGGGGGAAUAUUGCACAAGGGGCGGAAGCCUGAUGCAGCAACGCCGCGGGCGGGAUGACGGCCUUCGGGGUGUAAACCGCUUUCGCCUGUGACGAAGCGUGAGGGACGGUAAUGGGUAAAGAAGCACCGGCUAACUACGUG
rnacentral:rRNA from 1 species